rnacentral:rRNA from 1 species
AGUGAACGCUGGCGGUAGGCCUAACACAUGCAAGUCGAACGGCAGCACAGUAAGAGCUUGCUCUUACGGGUGGCGAGUGGCGGACGGGUGAGGAAUACAUCGGAAUCUACUUUUUCGUGGGGGAUAACGUAGGGAAACUUACGCUAAUACCGCAUACGACCUACGGGGGAAAGCAGGGGAUCUUCGGACCUUGCGCGAGUGAAUGAGCCGAUGUCGGAUUAGCUAGUUGGCGGGGUAAAGGCGCACCAAGGCGACGAUCCGUAGCUGGUCUGAGAGGAUGAUCAGCCACACUGGAACUGAGACACGGUCCAGACUCCUACGGGAGGCAGCAGUGGGGAAUAUUGGACAAUGGGCGCAAGCCUGAUCCAGCCAUACCGCGUGGGUGAAGAAGGCCUUCGGGUUGUAAAGCCCUUUUGUUGGGAAAGAAAAGCAGCAGGUUAAUACCCCGCUGUUAUGACGGUACCCAAAGAAUAAGCACCGGCUAACUUCGUG